ensembl:lncRNA
CUCUUCCUGGAGAUCUCUGCUUGUGGAGUUUUUGCGAGCCUACAACACUGGUGAACACCUUUCAUUUAUAUCUGAUUAUCUUUUCCAGUGUGGUAAUCUUACCAGCCUAACUUCUCUGUAUAACAUCUGUAUACCUAUUUACUGUACAACAGGGAUCUACUGAAGGAAAAUAAUUGCAUUAUGUUUGUCCUGCUAUUAUACUCUCUCAUAAGCCUCUAUUUACUGGUCAUUUUCACUGGUAGGACGUAGGGCUGGUGGGCUUUGGUCUGAUGCAGUAUGUGCAGUUUUAUCUAUGAAAUGCAUCUAGUUGAUGCAUAUCUAAUAUGAUAGAGUCCUUGCACACACUCAGUUCAGCGUUAAGAGGCCUGCUCCAUCAGUGCUACAGCUAAAAUCAUUCCUUGUUAGCUUCUUCUCACCUCAUGGCGUGCUGAAGUUCCUCAUCUGAUUGCAGCUCUGGAAAAGUGACACAGGUGAGAAAAAGAAGGCAUUUUAUAAACCAGUCUCAAUUGUGCUUUUUUUUGGGGGGGGGGGGGGGGCAAAACUCCAAAGAUAGCCUUUUCCCAUUUGCAAUUUAAAAAGGAUCAUGUCAAUAUGGACAAGGAAUGUACAGUCAUCGUAUUCAGGAAUGGAUUCUAAUCACUAAAUGACUGUACUGUUUACUUCUGAUGGUACGUUAUCUCUCUUCUACCAUGGUUACAACAGAUCCUGGAAAUCUCAACCAAGAACAUGUGCCUAUUGUCUUGUGCAGGCAUUUCAAACUGCUGCAGUACCUUAGGUUUGCUUCAGGCUGGUAAAUGGUAAUCCCAUUUCAACUGAUAUUUGGCAACAUUUUGAGUGUGGUAACUUGAGCAAGACUCUCAAGUUAGAAAUACUUUAUCCCCAAAGGAGUUGCUUUAUUCAGGUUAGCAGUUAUGUCACAGCACACCACAUCACGAUACUGAAAUGGUGUGUUUUGAGUUUCUGAGGAUCUUGGGGAUGUGACUACUAUUUGCUAUUUAAAGGCUAUGCUAGCUGUGUAUCCAGUUCUUUGAUAGCAAAAUCUUUGCAGUUCUGUCUUGCAAGUCUUACAUUUUAACAAAUGCAGAGCAGACGCCACAGCUUACUAUUCAGUUUCUUCUAAAUUAUAGAAUAUAUGUCAUAAUGUCAAGUCUGCUUGUUAGGAAUAAUCGGAAAUACCUCACCGUUAUCUGUCUGGAAUAAAUGUCUUGUGCUCUGAAUGCCCUGGUGUCAGCUAAGGAAUACAUUAAUAUUGAACAUACGAACUUACUCA